ACUCCGUUGCUCGAUCUGUGCGGGAUCGGAGCUCGCCGAUUACAAAAAUACACGUACAGUAUCUUCGCUUUAAAUACAAAUAUGCCCAUGGUAAGGCAUUUAAAAUGAAAAAGCCCUUGAUAAGAGAGAAUGUGUAGAUGGUUCACCAGUGGCCAUCUGUCAUACCUUAUACAACAUCCUCAUCAUCAUUUUGGACAAACAAGGCAAUCCUGUCAUUCAAGGUGGUGGACCAGAAACAUAAUUAGGUUCACGACGAGCUUGGGCUCCUGCCAACCCUGCUGGAAUGGUCUCGUAUAUUGGCUCUUUAGGCUUCUCUUCUUCAUGGUAUCCAUUAAUCUGUGGUGGUGGUGGCGGGGAAGACGAGGGAGGUGGAAGAGGUAGAGGCAGUUCACCAGGUGAAGGAGGAGGAAAUCCAUCAUUAACAGCUUCUGGUAACGGAGGAGGUGGGAGGCUGUUUUCCAGUUCCUCUGCACGGUUG